GAUGAAGAACGCAGCGAAAUGCGAUAAGUAAUGUGAAUUGCAGAAUUCAGUGAAUCAUCGAAUCUUUGAACGCACAUUGCGCCCCCUGGUAUUCCGGGGGGCAUGCCUGUUCGAGCGUCAUUUCUCCACUCAAGCCUCGCUUGGUAUUGGGCAUCGCGGUCCGCCGCGCGCCUCAAAUCGACCGGCUGGGUCUUCUGUCCCCUAAGCGUUGUGGAAACUAUUCGCUAAAGGGUGUUCGGGAGGCUACGCCGUAAAACAACCCCAUUUCUAAGGUUGACCUCGGAUCAGGUAGGGAUACCCGCUGAACUUAAGCAUAUCAAUAAGCGGAGGA
rnacentral:misc_RNA from 1 species